UAUGGACUCCAUAAUACCCUUAAUUAUUGAAUUUAACUUUUUCGGAAGCUUAUCAUAUGUAACCAUCGCGGAAGCAAUUGAAGCACUACACUGAAUAUCCUGUCUUUCUUUUGCAAUUUUGUAAAUAGAGAUCUCGUCAAUUAUUAAAUAUUUUAUCUCGUUUAGGGCUUUUGACGAUUGCGCUUUUUGAGAGGGGGACAACAACUUGCAUAAAUUUUCAUAUGUAGGACCAACGAGUUUUUCAGCAUCCGCUAUACCAAAGGCAAUUGGGCCAGCUUCGGGAUCCCCUUUGACAACAACAGCUAAUGAAGGAAUUUUUGAACGAGAAAGACGCCCUACAUCCAAAAAGGUGUUG